GGGCGUUAAGUUGCAGGGUAUAGACCCGAAACCCGGUGAUCUAGCCAUGGGCAGGUUGAAGGUUGGGUAACACUAACUGGAGGACCGAACCGACUAAUGUUGAAAAAUUAGCGGAUGACCUGUGGCUGGGGGUGAAAGGCCAAUCAAACCGGGAGAUAGCUGGUUCUCCCCGAAAGCUAUUUAGGUAGCGCCUCGUGAACUCAUCUCCGGGGGUAGAGCACUGUUUCGGCUAGGGGGCCAUCCCGGCUUACCAACCCGAUGCAAACUGCGAAUACCGGAGAAUGUUAUCACGGGAGACACACGGCGGGUGCUAACGUCCGUCGUGAAGAGGGAAACAACCCAGACCGCCAGCUAAGGUCCCAAAGUCAUGGUUAAGUGGGAAACGAUGUGGGAAGGCCCAGACAGCCAGGAUGUUGGCUUAGAAGCAGCCAUCAUUUAAAGAAAGCGUAAUAGCUCACUGGUCGAGUCGGCCUGCGCGGAAGAUGUAACGGGGCUAAACCAUGCACCGAAGCUGCGGCAGCGACGCUUAUGCGUUGUUGGGUAGGGGAGCGUUCUGUAAGCCUGCGAAGGUGUGCUGUGAGGCAUGCUGGAGGUAUCAGAAGUGCGAAUGCUGACAUAAGUAACGAUAAAGCGGGUGAAAAGCCCGCUCGCCGGAAGACCAAGGGUUCCUGUCCAACGUUAAUCGGGGCAGGGUGAGUCGACCCCUAAGGCGAGGCCGAAAGGCGUAGUCGAUGGGAAACAGGUUAAUAUUCCUGUACUUGGUGUUACUGCGAAGGGGGGACGGAGAAGGCUAUGUCGGCCGGGCGACGGUUGUCCCGGUUUAAGCGUGUAGGCUGACUUUCCAGGCAAAUCCGGAAAGUUAAGGCUGAGGCGUGAUGACGAGGCACUACGGUGCUGAAGUGACAAAUGCCCUGCUUCCAGGAAAAGCCUCUAAGCAUCAGGUAACAUCAAAUCGUACCCCAAACCGACACAGGUGGUCAGGUAGAGAAUACCAAGGCGCUUGAGAGAACUCGGGUGAAGGAACUAGGCAAAAUGGUGCCGUAACUUCGGGAGAAGGCACGCUGACAUGUAGGUGAAGCCCCUGCGGGUGGAGCUGAAGUCAGUCGAAGAUACCAGCUGGCUGCAACUGUUUAUUAAAAACACAGCACUGUGCAAACACGAAAGUGGACGUAUACGGUGUGACGCCUGCCCGGUGCCGGAAGGUUAAUUGAUGGGGUUAUCGCAAGAGAAGCUCCUGAUCGAAGCCCCGGUAAACGGCGGCCGUAACUAUAACGGUCCUAAGGUAGCGAAAUUCCUUGUCGGGUAAGUUCCGACCUGCACGAAUGGCGUAAUGAUGGCCAGGCUGUCUCCACCCGAGACUCAGUGAAAUUGAACUCGCUGUGAAGAUGCAGUGUACCCGCGGCAAGACGGAAAGACCCCGUGAACCUUUACUACAGCUUGACACUGAACAUUGAGCCUUGAUGUGUAGGAUAGGUGGGAGGCUUUGAAGCGUGGACGCCAGUCUGCGUGGAGCCGACCUUGAAAUACCACCCUUUAAUGUUUGAUGUUCUAACCUGGCGCCGUGAUCCGGCGUGGGGACAGUGUCUGGUGGGUAGUUUGACUGGGGCGGUCUCCUCCCAAAGUGUAACGGAGGAGCACGAAGGUCAGCUAAUCCUGGUCGGACAUCAGGAGGUUAGUGCAAUGGCAUAAGCUGGCUUGACUGCGAGAGUGACGGCUCGAGCAGGUGCGAAAGCAGGUCAUAGUGAUCCGGUGGUUCUGUAUGGAAGGGCCAUCGCUCAACGGAUAAAAGGUACUCCGGGGAUAACAGGCUGAUACCGCCCAAGAGUUCAUAUCGACGGCGGUGUUUGGCACCUCGAUGUCGGCUCAUCACAUCCUGGGGCUGAAGUAGGUCCCAAGGGUAUGGCUGUUCGCCAUUUAAAGUGGUACGCGAGCUGGGUUUAGAACGUCGUGAGACAGUUCGGUCCCUAUCUGCCGUGGGCGCUGGAGAAUUGAGGGGGGCUGCUCCCAGUACGAGAGGACCGGAGUGGACGCAUCACUGGUGUUCGGGUUGUCAUGCCAAUGGCACUGCCCGGUAGCUAAAUGCGGAAGAGAUAAGUGCUGAAAGCAUCUAAGCACGAAACUUGCCCCGAGAUGAGUUCUCCCUGAGACUAUAAGUCUCCUGAAGGAACGUUGAAGACGACGACGUUGAUAGGCCGGGUGUGUAAGCGCAGCGAUGCGUUGAGCUAACCGGUACUAAUGAACCGUGAGGCUUAACCUU
rnacentral:rRNA from 1 species